ACCCCCUGAUGCUGAAGGAGAUGUUGGAGGAUUUGAGGGACAAGGCCGAGGUGCCCCUGACGACGCAGUCGCUGCGGCUGCUGGCGCUGCCCCCCCCCGAGCUGGGUCCCUUUGUGGCGCUGCACAAGGGGCGACCCCUGCAGAGAC